CGAUCUUAUGCACUACAUUAAUGUGAUAGUCAGGGGACCCUGGGUUACAUGUGAUCAGUUCACAGGUUGGAUGUCAUUCGACAUCCAGCAGUGAGACAUGGCAGACAUUCAUAAGAUAAUGGACCACAGUGCUUUCUUUGCCACACCCCCUCCCCUUGCUUGCCUUCCACCCAGACUUCGGGUGGCGACCAGACCAAAUGUGUAUGGCAUUCGAGGUGCAUUCUGCAUAUUCCUUUUGCAUUCUGCCAGCAUUGGGGAGAUUUGUGCUGUGUUCCAGCUGCAUUUGACCUGCCUUCUGGGUAUUCGUGCUGUGUUCGGAGCGCAUUUCACCUGCAUUCGGGAGCUGCUGCAUGCCGAAUGUGCGCAAAUCAUUCAAGGUGGCUUCAACCCACAUUCUGGGUAUUUAAACUGCAUUCCUACAC